rnacentral:rRNA from 1 species
CGAACGGGUGAGUAACACGUGAGGAACCUGCCCCGAAGACCGGGAUAACCCUCCGAAAGGAGAGCUAAUACCGGAUGCCCCCACCAGAUCGCAUGAUCCGGUGAGGAAAUGGAUUCCGCUUCGGGAGGGCCUCGCGGCCUAUCAGCUAGUUGGUGGGGUAACGGCCCACCAAGGCAUCGACGGGUAGCUGGUCUGAGAGGACGAUCAGCCACACUGGGACUGAGACACGGCCCAG